UACGUAGGUGACAAGCGUUGUCCGGAUUUACUGGGCGUAAAGAGCGCGCAGGCGGUCGAUCAAGUCGAGUGUGAAAGCCCCCGGCUCAACUGGGGAGGGUCAUUCGAUACUGAUCGACUCGAAGGCAGGAGAGGGUAGUGGAAUUCCCGGUGUACGUGGUGAAUGCGUAGAUAUCGGGAGGAACGACCAGUGGCGAAGGGCGGAGCAUCCUGGACCCGGCAGUUGGACGCUGAUGAGCGAAAGCCAGGGGAAGCCAAAGGCGGG
rnacentral:rRNA from 1 species